AUAGUCAAAUUAAUUAAAUUAUGGACUACCCAAAAUAAUUAAAUGUAGGGCUAGUUCUUAAAAUUUCGCAGCCCAAGCAAUUAAAAUAAAGGCCCAAACUAUUAAAAUAAACUUAGCUCAAAUCAUUUAAAAGAUGAGGCCCAAACAUUUUAAUAAAAGAAAUCGGCCCAAGCCCGGCCCAAAACUCAAGCCCAAACCUCUAGCACUAAACCCUUUUAUCCUUCUCUUCAAUCACAUCCGCCGCUCACAUACACACGCGGCACGCCUUGUCUCUCCCUUUCUCUCUUCGGUUCAGGCAGUCCGCCUCUUCUCCCUCAAAAUUCCGCCGCCGCGGCUCCUCCUCCGGCGAGAAACCGACGACCGAUCCUCUCCCUCUACCCCAUCUUCUUCUCCCUAGUUUUCCCUCUACCUACACAAACAUACGCACCCAGCGGCUGCGCCGCCCAGCCCUCUCUCCUUCACGCAGCAGGAGCAACCGCCGCGGAGCGCCGCUGCCUCCGGCGUCCUCGCAGCAGAUCCGCCGUCGCCUCCCUCGGUUUCUCUCUCGGCGACAACAGCCCAUGGCUGCCGCCGUCCUGAUCCCGACAAGACUCAUCCCAGCCAGACCAGACCACCUCUCUCUCUCUCCAGCCGUGGCCGGGCAGCAGCGGCACCGCCGCCGUGCCCUGCCUCCCUCCGCUGAAGCCCAACCUCCCAUCUCUUUCUUCUCUUCUUCCCCUAGCUGCGCCCCCAACAUCUCUCUAUUUCCCUCUCAACAAUCAAACACACGCGCACGGACAUGGCAUAAGCCACGCCGCCGCCGGAUACAGGACAGCAAACGCCCCACCGCGGUGCGCCGCCGCCUGCUCCUUCUUUUCCGACAAACAGCCGAAGCUUCCUCCGUCUCCGCCCCGCCCGAAAUCGAUCGGAAACGACGACAGGUUCACCGCCGCCGCUCCGUUGCCGACGACGAGCCACCGAGGCUGUCAUUUCCCGACCUCGACUCACACACAAAACAGGGGUGUCAAACAUAGGGUUUUCAUGUGCAAAAUCACUUUACAACUGUAAUACUCAAUAUAAAGUCUUUUAUUCAUCUGUAAUUUCAUUUCACAUAUAACAUAUCUUGUAAACAUAUAGUGAAACGUCAAGUAACUGUGUGUGUUGGGAUUCUGUGUUGGUGAUUUGGAGAAUUAAACAAAAGGGGAUAAUACCUUGAGUAGACGGUGUGGGAUGUUUGUUUCU